GGGCGAUGAGACCGCGGGGAGGGUGGAAAUCCGCCCCGAUUUGGGGGUUAUUGGGUGGGAGAAGAGCAACAAUUAAUAAAUGAAUAAAUUCAUUCAAAUGGAAAAUGAGACAACAAAUAGCGAGCUGGUGGGGGAGGGGGGCGUCUUAAAGCACGGGACCCCCCACCUGCUUGGGAGAUGGGGUUUUUUCUCGGCAUACGGUGUUCCCCAGAUGCGGGUUUUGCUGUUUUUGCCAAUGUGAGGAGGUUUUACGGGAGGGUGGGGGGGUGUCAGUGUCUGUAGGAAGAGGAAGGAGACAAAGCCCGUGCGUAUCUCCGGUGUAUAUGGCAUAAUCUCUACGUGAGGUGUACGCGUCCCACUGCAUCCCUGCGGGGGGGGAGGUGGGGGCUGUGCUGUCCGUGCUUCGGUGCGGCUGACAGUGCUGUCCCCAACUCCGCUGUCGCAAGGAGAAGGAAAAGGCUCCCACGCCGCCUUAGGAAACCCCGCGGGGAAAAUCCCAAUUCCCCUUUUGGAGACUUUUGCUGUCUCAAUUCGCAGCCAAAAGUGUGUUAUCAUCCGCCAUAGCCCCGAAUCUCAUCGCGCUCCCCACUCCCCCGCCCCUCCCAAAGGACCUUGCUUUGCAGCAGCUCUGCUGAUGGAGAGUGUCUGUGCUUCUUUGAUGACGGUGUAGCAAAAGAGGUAGGAAAAGCCCCCUUUUUUGCCCCCUCCGGUGCCAGCAGCACGCUGGGCUCGAGCAGGCCGCAUCUCCCCCCACCUCGGGGUGGCCUCGAACAGCUUAGAAGGGAGGAGGGGGGAAAUAGGAAUAAAUAAGAGUGAUUGUGUUUUCUUUUGAGGGGCAAUAUCCCAUUCAGAUACAUCCCAGCCGCCCCUCAAGAAUAACCCCAGGUUAAGAAACCUCACGUUUCCAUCAGCAGACGACGGUUCUCUACCUAAAAAGCCGUGUCUGCUGCGGGCAGAGGGUAGAAGAAGAGGUUCCGUUGUGUGGGGGUGUGGGACUGAUUCCCCUAAAACCCCGUCUGCCCUUUUUGAAUGGGAGGUCUGAUGGGAUGCGAUGUGUUUUCUCCGUAUGUGAGCUCUGCUUUCCUGUCCAAACGAACCCACCAUGUUUUGCUCUUCUCCAUCAGGUGUGUGCAGAAGGAGCUUCGGGACGCUCGGGGAGGGUAGGACCGGGAGGGCAGUGGAUUUGGAGCCGAGAGGAGUUUGGUCUGGGACAGUUUGGUUCUAUAGAGAGAGAGAGAGAGAAAAGAAAAUGGGAUUUUUCUAAUUAAGGCUGAAGAGGGAGAAGGGCCGCGGUGCUGCAUCGCUGCUCUCCGCUCCGCGCUUUGCUCCGUUCGUUUUAUACCGGGAUCGGGGGGGGUGCUGGGGAGGGGGGGGGGGGUAUUAAUUUUAUGGCAAAGCAGCGUUUUCUGGGAAGCCUGGACGCUCACCACGUGCUCCCUCUUCCCCGCGUUCAUGGUCAUGACCAGCAGCGGCGAGGAAUGCUUUUAUUUACGAGCUGCAAAGGAUGGAGCCGACUCCUUCCAAAUCCCUCCCCGGGCUGAGAGGGGCCUUUCCCUUCAGCUGCGUUUCCCUUCCAGCCUUCCUCCACCCGCACCCCUUUCCUGGACGCUUCCAUUUACCCCUCCCUCCCCCUUUUAUUAUUAUUAUUAUUAUUAUUUAAUGUUUAUGAUAAUCUUAUUUUUUUUUUCAAACCGGGAAAAUGUCAUCGUUUCUUCCCUUCGUUCGUGUUUUUCCCCGCGGUCCCUUCCCCCAACACCAGGAUCCCCCCCCCCCCCCCUGCCCCCCACCUUCUGUACAAAGGAGGGCAUCGCUUCUCGCAGUGCAAUAAACUCGGGCUGUGUUUUCCGUGGGUAUUUCUGUACACGCGUGCAAUGAGAGGAGGAGGGCGGUGGGGGAGAGCUCAG
rnacentral:lncRNA from 1 species